CUUCUUCCCUCCUACUUGACUAAAAUAAUGCAUUCUUGCCAGGCACUGAGUUGCAGGCAAUGGAGAUAAAUGUGCUGCCUUCAAGAAGCCUCCAGCAGGGGAAUAUAAAGGCAAGUGACAGAGUGAUAUAGGGAUAUUCCAGGUGUCACUGAUGGAAUUUGAAGGGGAGAAUGACAUCAUGAGCACAGUGUCUGGGAAGUGAAGUGAGGCCAGUGUGGGAUGUAUUGGAGGACACAGAGAUGGUGGCAGAUAGACAGGGGAGGAGGCCACAGUCUAGGUGGAGGAUAGUAAGUCCUCGAUGGAGAUGGGGUGAGGAGGUGCUGCAGAGAUGAUGAGGAGAAGAUAGGUGUGAGGGAUAGGUGCAAAGGUAAGUAGCAACACGCUUAGUGACUGGGUGUGGAAGGGGAGAUACAGUAGAUGUCUGAGCCUGGGAGAUUCUGAGGACUGGGCAAUCAGGCAUUCUUUGGUACCAUUUAAGGACUCAGGAGUACAGGAAGAAGAACAGGAUAUGAGAAGGAGAACAAUGGGCUCAGGUUGAAGCUUUCAAAGAGAGGUGCCCAGUAAGCCAUUGAAUAUAUGGAUCUGGAGCUCAGGAGAGAGGUCUGAAUUGGAGUACCAGGCACAGCGUGGAGUCCAGGGAUGAAGUUCAGAUCGUGGGCAGGAUUGCCCAAGAGAGUUGUACAGAGAAGAGAAAAGAGGUUGAGGUGGGUAUGUGGGGAAUGCCCCCUCACUGCUCCUAGGCAUCCUUCAUGCCUCUCUGAGAGCUCUUAUCACAUGAAUUAUCUGUUUGUCUUUUCUCCCUGGAUGUGGGCUCCUUGAAGGAGGCAACACAUCCUUACAACGCAUAUUUCCCAGGAAGAUAUACAUGGGUCUGGCACAAGACAGAAGCUCAUUAAUGCCUGAAGGAUGGAAGAAUGAUUAUAGUAGUACGUUGCUGCUGCUGCUAAGUCGCAUCAGUCAUGUCCGACUCUGUGCGACCCCAUAGACAGCAGCCCACCAGGCUCCUCUGUCCCUGGGAUUCUCUAGGCAAGAACACUGGAGUGGGUUGCCAUUUCCUUCUCCAAUGCAUGAAAGUGAAAAGUGAAAGUGAAGUCGCUCAGUCGUGUCUGACUCGACCCCAUGAACUGCAGCCUACCAGGCUCUUCCGUUCAUGGGAUUUUCCAGGCAAGAGUACUGGAGUGGGUCACCAGUGCCUUCUCCGAGUAGUAUGCAGAGGGCUUACUAUGUGCCAGGCACCUUUCUAAGUGCUCUACAUUUAGUAAUUCAUUUAAUCUUCAGGACAACUUAACAUUUCCAACUCUCAAUGGAAAUGUACUCUUGUCAUUUCCAUAUUACACAUGGGAAAACUUGACUAAGAAAAGUUAACUAACUUGUUCGAGAUCAAGUGGAAGUAAGAGUUAAGAUGUGAAUCCAGCAAUCCUGAUUCAUUUCCUGGUCUUCUGCCUUGAUGUCCAGGGAAAGCACCUUCCAAAUAACCAGCCU
ensembl:lncRNA